GUGAUGAUGGUGUAAUGGUAGCACGUCCAAUUAACAACUGCAUUCACGGAUAGCCCUGGUUUGAUUCCAGGUCAUCGCC